rnacentral:rRNA from 1 species
CCACGGGUGAGUAACACGUAUCCAACCUGCCGUCUACUCUUGGACAGCCUUCUGAAGGAAGAUUAAUACAAGAUGGCAUCAUGAGUCCACAUGUUCACAUGAUUAAAGGUAUUCCGGUAGACGAUGGGGAUGCGUUCCAUUAGAUAGUAGGCGGGGUAACGGCCCACCUAGUCUUCGAUGGAUAGGGGUUCUGAGAGGAAGGUCCCCCACAUUGGAACUGAGACACGGUCCAA